CAGUAGCCGCGGUAAUACGAAGGGUGCAAGCGUUAAUCGGAAUUACUGGGCGUAAAGCGUGCGUAGGCGGUGAGUUAAGUCUGCUGUGAAAUCCCCGGGCUCAACCUGGGAAUGGCAGUGGAUACUGGCUCGCUAGAGUGUGUCAGAGGAUGGUGGAAUUCCCGGUGUAGCGGUGAAAUGCGUAGAGAUCGGGAGGAACAUCAGUGGCGAAGGCGGCCAUCUGGGACAACACUGACGCUGAGGCACGAAAGCGUGGGGAGCAGACAGGAUUAGAUACCCCGGUAGUCCCUGUCUCUUAUAC
rnacentral:rRNA from 1 species